AGCGAACGCUGGCGGCAGGCUUAACACAUGCAAGUCGAGCGGACCUUUCGGGGUCAGCGGCGGACGGGUGAGUAACGCGUGGGAACGUGCCUUCCGGUUCGGAAUAACCCUGGGAAACUAGGGCUAAUACCGGAUACGCCCUUAUGGGGAAAGGUUUACUGCCGGAAGAUCGGCCCGCGUCUGAUUAGCUAGUUGGUGGGGUAACGGCCUACCAAGGCGACGAUCAGUAGCUGGUCUGAGAGGAUGAUCAGCCACACUGGGACUGAGACACGGCCCAGACUCCUACGGGAGGCAGCAGUGGGGAAUAUUGGACAAUGGGCGCAAGCCUGAUCCAGCCAUGCCG
rnacentral:rRNA from 1 species